rnacentral:tRNA from 1 species
GCCUGGCUGGCUCAGUCAGUACAGCAUGAGACUCUUGAUCUCAGGGUCGUGAGUUCGAGCCCCAUGUUGGGUG